UUUCCGUAGGUGAACCUGCGGAAGGAUCAUUAAAAAAUUGGACUCCAUUGGUGAGUUCAUUAAUAAUCCCUACCCUUUGUGAAUUUGUUUGUUUGAAUAAUUUUUUUUCCAAAAAAAUUAUUGAAUGUCUUUCCUUGUUUUGGUGGAGCUUGUAAAGUGAAACCAGGCAGGGGAAUGGCAAACAAUAAUUAUUUUUGAAAAAGACCUUUUUUAAAAUUAAACUUUUUGUAUUCAUUUGUCUAAAAUUAAUUUUUAUAAUAUAAAAACAACUUUUGACAAUGGAUCUCUUGGUUCUCGCAACGAUGAAGAACGCAGCAAAAUGCGAUAAGUAGUGUGAAUUGCAGAAUACGUGAAUCAUCGAAUCUUCGAACGCAUAUUGCACUUUUUUAGUUUACUAAAAAAGUAUGUCUGUUUGAGUAUCAGUAAAAUAUUCUCAUAAAAAACAUUGUUUUUUUAUGGUUAUGAGUGUUUUACAACGAUAACAAGUUGUUUCACUUUAAAUUCUUUGUUAUCAAAAAAAUCAUUAAAAGCUAAUUUUAAAGAUUUUUUAAAAUUGGAUAAAAUUUUCCCGUAAAAAGGAAUAACCUAAACAAUUUUAAAAAAUUAAAAUUGGUUUGAUUUUUUUUGAAACCCAAAGGAAAAAAAAACGAAAUUAACUUGAUCUCAAAUCAGAUAAGAGUACCCGCUGAACUUAAGCAUAUCAAUAAGCGGAGGAAAAGAAACUAACUAGGAUUCCCUCAGUAACGGCGAGUGAAGCGGGAAGAGCUCAAAUUUGAAAUCUUCAAGGUUUUACCUUGACGAAUUGUAGUUUAAAGAAGUGUUUUCUGUUGGAAUUUUGGUAAAAGUUCCUUGGAAAAGGACAUCAUAGAGGGUGAGAAUCCCGUAUUUGACCAUUAUCUCCAGCUUUGUGAUACACUUUCAAAGAGUCGGAUUGUUUGGGAAUGCAGUCCAAAAUGGGUGGUAAAUUUCAUCUAAAGCUAAAUACUGGCGAGAGACCGAUAGCGAACAAGUACCGUGAGGGAAAGAUGAAAAGAACUUUGAAAAGAGAGUUAAACAGUACGUGAAAUUGUCAAAAGGGAAGCGUUUGACACCAGUGUUGUUUUCUCGAAAAUCAAUUAAAAAAGGCCGGAUUUUGUGUUGUAUUGACUUUAUCAGCUUUCUGCACUCUUUUCUUGUCUUUUUUAAUGCACUUUUCGUUUAACAAGUCAACAUCAAUUUCUUUUGUUGUAAAAGGGUCAUUGGAAGGUGGCUUCUUUUCGGAGAAAGUGUUUAUAGCCUUUGGCCGCUGCAAUCGGAGAGAUUGAGGUCUGCAGCGUAGAUCCUUCGGGGUUAGAUACAUUUGUGCUAAGUUAUAGCCUUUCAUAGACAACUUGUUGACUAUGAUCAGUCAUGUAGCUUACUCGCUUAUGCUAUUU
rnacentral:misc_RNA from 1 species